GUUUGACCUCGGAUCAGGUAGGAAUACCCGCUGAACUUAAGCA
rnacentral:rRNA from 2 species